rnacentral:rRNA from 2 species
CUUGAGGAAAAUAGAGCGUUGGAACCACCUGAAUCCUUCUCGAACUCAGUAGUGAAACGACGUAUCGCCAAUGGUAGUGUGGGGUCUCCCCAUGUGAGAGUAGGUCAUCCUCAAGC